UACGAAGGGGGCGAGCGUUGUUCGGAAUUACUGGGCGUAAAGGGCGCGUAGGCGGCCGAUCAAGUCAGAUGUGAAAGUCCUGGGCUUAACCUGGGGACUGCAUUUGAUACUGAUUGGCUUGAAUGCAGGAGAGGAUAGCGGAAUUCCCAGUGUAGAGGUGAAAUUCGUAGAUAUUGGGAAGAACACCGGUGGCGAAGGCGGGUCUCUGGGCCGAUACUGGACGCUGAGGAGCGAAAGCGUGGGGAGCGAACAGG
rnacentral:rRNA from 1 species